UGCUUUUCUGCUUAGUGGCGAACGGGUGAGUAAUGCAUCGGAACGUACCGUGUAGUGGGGGAUAACCAGUCGAAAGAUUGGCUAAUACCGCAUAUUCUCUUUUGAGGAAAGCGGGGGACUGUAAUAGGCCUCGCGCUAUAUGAGCGGCCGAUGUUGGAUUAGCUAGUUGGUGGGGUAAUUGCUUACCAAGGCUACGAUCCAUAGCGGGUCUGAGAGGAUGAUCCGCCACACUGGGACUGAGACACGGCCCAGACUCCUACGGGAGGCAGCAGUGGGGAAUUUUGGACAAUGGGGGCAACCCUGAUCCAGCCAUGCCGCGUGAGUGAAGAAGGCCUUCGGGUUGUAAAGCUCUUUCGCCGGGAAAGAAAGCCUCUGGGUUAAUAUCCUGGGGGUAUGACGGUACCCGGAUAAGAAGCACCGGCUAACUACGUGCCAGCAGCCGCGGUAAUACGUAGGGUGCGAGCGUUAAAUCGGAAUUACUGGGCUUAAAGGGUGCGUAGGCUGUUUGGUAAAGUGGGGUG
rnacentral:rRNA from 1 species